rnacentral:rRNA from 1 species
UACGGGGGGGGGCGAGCGUUGUUCGGAAUUACUGGGCGUAAAGGGUUUGUAGGUGGCCUGCUAAGUCAGACAUGAAAUCCCUCGGCUUAACCGGGGAACUGCGUCUGAUACUGGAUGGCUUGAAUCCGGGAGAGGGAUGCGGAAUUCCAGGUGUAGCGGUGAAAUGCGUAGAUAUCUGGAGGAACACCGGUGGCGAAGGCGGCAUCCUGGACCGGCAUUGACGCUGAGGAGCGAAAGCCAGGGGAGCAAACGGG